UUAACCGAGUAUAUGAAAAAGAAUUCUAAAAUAACGGAUUUAAACAUUAAUGUGUUUUAAAAGAAUUUAUGAAGAAUGCAAAUAACUGUCAGCCACAGACAAUACAUUCGAUCAUAGAUAACAAAGAACUAUGUAUAAGCACACAUAUUUACUAUUAUAUCGGCCGAGAAAUUGGAAAUUCUAAAAAUCACGUGAUUACUACUUGAGCCAACUCAACUGUACUUCAGUUCCGUGAACUUCAUAUUUUAACAGAGUGCUUUCUAACCAACUUUAAACAACAUUAUAUAUGAUCUUACAAGAAAUGUUAAUAUUAUUAUUUUCAAAAAUUAACACAUAUUUAACGAUUUUAAAUGAUAAAUAAAAUAAAAUACACAAGAAAUAGUGAUUUUAGAACUGAUAAUUAUGAAAUCUAUGCAACAUGAACAAGUUCCAUUGUAUUCAUUACAAGUAUUCAUGACCAAUUAAAUUAUUUAGUACAUUUGUAUUUUUUGAAAUUAUUCUUAUCCACAAUUAGACUUCUUUUGCAUUGCAAAGAUUCAUGAAUGAAAGGUCAUGCAAUUAUCGAAGAUGAUAAUUGUAUAUAAAUAAUUGAAGGUAUGACAAUAGAAGAAUGAUAUACAGGCAAACUGUUCUGCGAACUUUUCUAUUGUUUCAUUGAAGAAACUAUUUCUGGGAUUUCAAAACGUAACGUUGUUCACCGAUUGCCUUAAACUUUAGGGUAAUUCCGAUAUAUACGAAUCGAAUCUGAUAUUUCCAUUCUAAGAGAAUUGAUGAUGUAAAAGAAAAUUACCGGUAUCGCAACAUUUUCUUUUUUCUUCUAUUUUACCGUAAAUUCUAUUUUAGAUCGAAGGUCCAACCUAACGUAACAAUACGUUCCGACGAAACAAAGUUUUUCCUCGCAGAAAAACGCGACAGAUACAAUGAAGCCGGAUGUUAACUCCCAUAGAAUAGAAUCAAAUGUAGUUGAUAAUUGUAAAUGACUUUUUUUAUUCCGUCCGAUACGAUUUGUAAUGUGAUUCAAACGAUAUUAUUUUCUAGUUUGAUUACGCUAACAAUAAGUAUGAAUUCACAUGAAUUCCAUUUGCGGCAAAUAUGCACUGGUAUGAUUGGUAGUGAUGUAAGAAAGAACGGAAAUAAAAUGCAAGAUAGCAAGCAGACAUGUAGAAAAGAUCUUGGAUUCAUAAAGGAGGCAUCUGAGUUUAUCCUUAAUGAUCCCACGCGACUACCGACCGAAUUAUGUAACGUAUAUGUAUAACUGGUAAAUAGUAAUUAAUAUUAUCAUGAUAAAAGAAUUUUUAUUU
rnacentral:lncRNA from 1 species